AGAGUUUGAUCCUGGCUCAGGAUGAACGCUGGCGGCGUGCCUAAUACAUGCAAGUCGAACGCUUCACUUCGGUGAAGAGUGGCGAACGGGUGAGUAAUACAUAAGUAACCUGGCAUCUACAGGGGGAUAACUGAUGGAAACGUCAGCUAAGACCGCAUAGGUGUAGAGAUCGCAUGAACUCUAUAUGAAAAGUGCUACGGGACUGGUAGAUGAUGGACUUAUGGCGCAUUAGCUUGUUGGUAGGGUAACGGCCUACCAAGGCGACGAUGCGUAGCCGACCUGAGAGGGUGACCGGCCACACUGGGACUGAGACACGGCCCAGACUCCUACGGGAGGCAGCAGUAGGGAAUUUUCGGCAAUGGGCGAAAGCCUGACCGAGCAAUGCCGCGUGAAUGAAGAAAUUCUUCGGAAUGUAAAAUUCUGUGGUGAGGGAAGAAAGGUAUUAGAAGGAAAUGGCUAAUAUUUGACGGUACCUUACUAGAAAGCCCCGGCUAACUAUGUGCCAGCAGCCGCGGUAAUACAUAGGGGGCAAGCGUUAUCCGGAAUUAUUGGGCGUAAAGCGUGCGUAGGCGGCCACUUAAGUCUGUCGUGAAAGCCCACAGCUUAACUGUGGAGGGUCGAUGGAAACUGAGAGGCUUGAAUCUAGGAGAGGUAAGUGGAAUUCCAUGUGUAGCGGUAAAAUGCUUAGAUAUAUGGAGGAACACCAGUGGCGAAGGCGGCUUACUGGUCUAGAAUUGACGCUGAUGCACGAAAGCGUGGGUAGCAAACAGGAUUAGAUACCCUGGUAGUCCACGCCGUAAACGAUGAGCACUAAGUGUCGGACGUAAGUUCGGUGCUGAAGUUAACGCAUUAAGUGCUCCGCCUGGGGAGUACGGUCGCAAGACUGAAACUCAAAGGAAUUGACGGGGACUCGCACAAGCGGUGGAGCAUGUGGUUUAAUUCGACGCAACGCGAAAAACCUUACCAGGCCUUGACAUACCGAUGACGUCUUUAGAGAUAGAGAGUUACCUUCGGGUACAUCGGAUACAGGUGGUGCAUGGUUGUCGUCAGCUCGUGUCGUGAGAUGUUGGGUUAA
rnacentral:rRNA from 1 species